UAAGGUGGUUAUAGCAGUAGGGCUCACCUCUUCCCAUUCCGAACAGAGAAGUUAAGCCUACUAGCGCAGAUGG
rnacentral:rRNA from 2 species